rnacentral:snoRNA from 1 species
AGCACUUUUAUGCGUUAACUUGCGGACCAGGCUUACGGACAGGUGCAAGCAAUAAAUCCUCUUUUGCAGCUCAGAAUUCAUGGUUCAGUGUGAGUUCUCAUUCAUAUAAGCAGCAGUAUG